UCAUUCCCCCACUUAGUAUUUUUUUCCCUCUUUGUCUGAAACUAUCGAACCCUAAUAACUCUCACUUUUCUGAAAACUCUCGAACCUUGUCAACCUCGUUCUCUCUCCAACCUGACCUGCCCCGAUUCCCCGACCUCGUUCUCCAACCUGGCCUGAGCUCGUUGUCCGAUCCGAGCUGCUCGAGCUACUUCUCCGACCCGAGCCGCUCGAGCUCCUUCUCCGACUCGAGCCACCUCGAGCUUGUUCUCCGAUCUGACCUUGAGCUCCUUCUCCGACCUUACCUCGAGCUCAUUCUCCGACAUGAGCUCGUCAAUCUCCGACAUGAACUCCCUACAAGAUUUGGUUCUGCAACUCUUAGGAUACUUCUUGAAGGCUGGGUUCAAUCGAUACUUCGAUUUCAGUUUUUUAUUUCAGAUUCUUGAAGGCUGGGUUCGAUUUCGGAUUUCUGGGUAAGUUGCUUGGUUACUCACUUUACUUACAGACUUGAGGGUUCGAUUUCGGAUUUGGAUUUCUGGGUAAGGCUGGGUUCAGUGACUUCAUUCGAUACUUCCAGUCUUCCAUUUCUGGGUUUUUUGUUUGAACUUCACUGCAUUUGCAGGGAUACAGGGCAGCCUUCCUAUUAAAACUGUGGAACUUCAGGACUCGGGUUCAUUCUGCUAUAUUGGGUUACCUACUCAUAUUCAGAGUUAAUUAUUAAUUACUCUGGCGUUGGUUUUGAUCUUAUACUCUAUUUGUCAGUUUUCUUGUUCUAAAUAUGUUCCUUGUUUUGGCAUUUCAUCAUAUUAAUCUUGCAUUUUGUGGUUAUAAGUGAAUGAUUCAGUUUGUUGUUGGUUUUGAGUUUGGGUUUGUAGGCACAUGAGUAGCACCACCAGUUUUUCUUGAUAGAAAGCUGCGUUUUUUCAAACUGAUUAUUUUACUUGUUGUAUUCUGUCAUUUGUUAGUUAUGACUGCAACUAACUGCAUUGUCAAUCUUAGUUAAAUUCUCUGAAUUGCUUGGUGAGUUAAGCGUAUUAAGUUCUGCAACAAUUAUUGUAAUUCUCCUAAGUCUUAAAACAAGAAGAUAUACCAUGUAAGUAUAUCUACUAGAAAAGAAACUGUUAUUUGAGAUGAUAUCAUUACAAUAAAUUCAAAGAUAGCAAGGGUCAAUUUCUCUCUGCAUUUUGUAGUUCUUGCACAUUUGAUUUCAUUUGCUGUUUUCUGUGGUCACUACUUCAAUGUAUAGUUUUUAUCUUCGAUAAUUUCAAAUCUUUCAUUAAUUUAUAUAUGAAUCUAAUUAUGGGAUCAAUGAUAGACAUGGCCAAAGGCAUGCAAGGAAUUGGGUAGCUCAAGAGGCGCAUUCCUGUUCUGCUUGAUCUAUUUAGAACAGUGAAAUUUCCUCAUAAUAAGGAGGUAAGAAUUAAGCCUGGAAUCUAUCAUGGUCAAAUGGAUCCUCGUGCCGAAUCCCAUAGAUUAUUUAUAAGAGAUGAACUAGAUGUCAUGGUUGCUACAGUUGCUUUGUCAUGGGUAUUGAUAAGCCAAACAUAAGACAAGUAAUCCACUAUGGCUACUGGAAGAAUUUGGAGUCUUGUUACCAGGAAAGUGGACGUUGUAGUAGAGAUGGUAUGGCUUCUCUGAUGUGGGGGAAUCUAGAAAGCAUAUUUUUAUGCUGGAGAAUGUCAAAUACCAAAGAUCCAAGAUGAGUUAAUAGCACGAGAAAUUGUUAUUAAUGAUGCAGAGUCUUCUAUUCGGUACAAGCUGACAAAACGCCAAACACAGGAGGAG